AACGAACGCUGGCGGCAGGCCUAACACAUGCAAGUCGAGCGAACCCUUCGGGGUUAGCGGCGGACGGGUUAGUAACGCGUGGGAAUAUACCCUUUGGUACGGAAUAGCCUCGGGAAACUGAGAGUAAUACCGUAUGUGCCCUUCGGGGAAAGAUUUAUCGCCAAAGGAUUAGCCCGCGUUGGAUUAGAUAGUUGGUGGGGUAAUGGCCUACCAAGUCUACGAUCCAUAGCUGGUUUGAGAGGAUGAUCAGCAACACUGGGACUGAGACACGGCCCAGACUCCUACGGGAGGCAGCAGUGGGGAAUCUUAGACAAUGGGCGCAAGCCUGAUCUAGCCAUGCCGCGUGGACGAUGAAGGCCUUAGGGUUGUAAAGUCCUUUCAGAUGGGAAGAUAAUGACGGUACCAUCAGAAGAAGCCCGGCUAACUCCGUGCCAGCAGCCGCGGUAAUG
rnacentral:rRNA from 1 species